rnacentral:rRNA from 1 species
UACGUAGGGAGCAAGCGUUGUCCGGAAUCAUUGGGCGUAAAGCGCGCGUAGGUGGCCUCAUAAGUCCGCUGUGAAAGUCAAAGGCUCAACCUUUGAAAGCCGGUGGAUACUGUGAGGCUAGAGUACGGAAGAGGCGAGUGGAAUUCCUGGUGUAGCGGUGGAAUGCGCAGAUAUCAGGAGGAACACCAAUAGCGAAGGCAGCUCGCUGGGACGUUACUGACACUGAGGCGCGAAAGCGUGGGGAGCGAACCGG